rnacentral:lncRNA from 10 species
AGGUGAUUUUCUUCCACCCCCACCUCCACCUCUAGAUGAUUCCAGUGCCCUUCCAUCUAUCUCUGGAAACUUUCCUCCUCCACCACCUCUUGAUGAAGAGGCUUUCAAAGUACAGGGGAAUCCCGGAGGCAAGACACUUGAGGAGAGGCGCUCCAGCCUGGACGCUGAGAUUGACUCCUUGACCAGCAUCUUGGCUGACCUUGAGUGCAGCUCCCCCUAUAAGCCUCGGCCUCCACAGAGGAAAGCAGCUAAACAGGAUGUUGGCUGGUAACACCAGCAAAGUGGAAUCAACCUCAAAGGAGAUGGUGUCAGAGUGGUGUUCAAUGCCUGAGCUUCUACCGAGUGAGUCACUUGUGUGAAAAUGUCUUGACACAGAUAGAAUUGAGGUGCCCACACUAUAUCUGAUCACAGAAAUGUUAAUGCAGAAUAGCAAACUGGCUUUCAUCUUCAUGGGAUUGCAGGCUGGGGGAUAAAAGGGGGUGCAUUUUUAAAGGUCAUCUCUAUUGCUUAUGAGAAAACAAUGUAUCACAUCCCAUGCAUCUGUGAGACUGUAUAUCAAGAAUCAGAAAUAAAUACAU